rnacentral:rRNA from 1 species
GAUGAACGCUAGCGGCAGGCUUAACACAUGCAAGUCGAGGGGUAUUGGUUUUCGGACCAAGAGACCGGCGCACGGGUGCGUAACGCGUAUGCAAUCUACCUUUUGCAGAGGGAUAGCCCCAGAGAAAUUUGGAUUAAUACCUCAUAGUAUAGUACUUUGGCAUCAAGGAACUAUUAAAGUCACAACGGCAAAAGAUGAGCAUGCGUCCCAUUAGCUAGUUGGUAAGGUAACGGCUUACCAAGGCUACGAUGGGUAGGGGUUCUGAGAGGGAGAUCCCCCCACACUGGUACUGAGACACGGACCAGACUCCUACGGGAGGCAGCAGUGAGGAAUAUUGGACAAUGGGCGCAAGCCUGAUCCAGCCAUGCCGCGUGCAGGAUGACGGUCCUAUGGAUUGUAAACUGCUUUUAUACAGGAAGAAACACUCCGACGUGUCGGAGCUUGACGGUACUGUAAGAAUAAGGAUCGGCUAACUCCGUGCCAGCAGCCGCGGUAA